rnacentral:rRNA from 1 species
CCGGCUAANUCCGUGCCCAGCAGCCGCGGUAAUACGGAGGGUGCAAGCGUUAUCCNGGAUUUAUUGGGUUUAAAGGGUUCGCAGGCGGCGUAUUAAGUCAGUGGUGAAAUCCCUCGGCUCAACCGAGGAACUGCCAUUGAAACUGGUAUGCUAGAGUAUAGUUGGCGUAGGCGGAAUGUAUCAUGUAGCGGUGAAAUGCUUAGAUAUGAUACAGAACACCGAUCGCGAAGGCAGCUUACGAAACUAUAACUGACGCUCAGGAACGAAAGCGUGGGUAGCGAACAGGAUUAGAUACCCUGGUAGUCCACGCCGUAAACUAUGAUUACUCGUUGUCGGCAAUACACAGUCGGUGGCUAAGCGAAAGUGAUAAGUAAUCCACCUGGGGAGUACGAUCGCAAGGUUGAAACUCAAAGGAAUUGACGGGGGCCCGCACAAGCGGAGGAGCAUGUGGUUUAAUUCGAUGAUACGCGAGGAACCUUACCUGGGCUUAAAUGUAGAGUGCAUAAUAGGGAAACCUAUUUUUUCUUCGGAACUCUUUACAAGGUGCUGCAUGGUUGUCGUCAGCUCGUGCCGUGAGGUGUCGGGUUAAGUCCCAUAACGAGCGCAACCCCUACUUCUAGUUGCCAUCAGGUAAUGCUGGGGACUCUAGAGGAACUGCCUACGCAAGUAGUGAGGAAGGUGGGGAUGACGUCAAAUCAGCACGGCCCUUACGUCCAGGGCUACACACGUGCUACAAUGGUCGGUACAGAGGGCAGCAACCCCGUGAGGGGGAGCGAAUCUCGAAAGCCGAUCUCAGUUCGGAUCGAAGUCUGAAACUCGACUUCGUGAAGUUGGAUUCGCUAGUAAUCGCGCAUCAGCCAUGGCGCGGUGAAUACGUUCCCGGGCCUUGUACACACCGCCCGUCAAACAAUGGAAGCUGGGGGUACCUAAAGUCCGUCACCGCAAGGAUCGGCCUAGGGUAAA